rnacentral:rRNA from 1 species
AUGCAAGUCGAACGGUCGUUUCUAUGGAAGCUUGCUUCCACUGAGAAGAUAGUGGCGAACGGGUGAGUAACACGUGGGUAACCUGCCCAUAAGAGGGGGAGUAACAUCCGGAAACGGGUGCUAAUACCGCAUAGUUUUCUUGAUCGCAUGAUCGGGAAAGGAAAGACGGCCUUUGUGCUGUCGCUUAUGGAUGGACCCGCGGCGUAUUAGUUAGUUGGUGAGGUAACGGCUCACCAAGACGAUGAUACGUAGCCGACCUGAGAGGGUGAUCGGCCACAUUGGGACUGAGACACGGCCCAAACUCCUACGGGAGGCAGCAGUAGGGAAUCUUCCGCAAUGGACGAAAGUCUGACGGAGCAACGCCGCGUGAGUGAAAGAAGGUUUUCGGAUCGUAAAACUCUGUUGUCAGAGAAGAACAAGUUGGAGAGUAACUGCUCCAGCCUUGACGGUAUCUGACCAGAAAGCCACGGCUAACUACGUGCCAGCCGCCGC